CGCCUGCAGCGGAGCGCGCGAACUUAACCACUCGGCCAUGGGGCCAGCCCCAUGAAAGAUUUUUUUUAACAAACGUCCAUGUAAGAAGUUAAAGACCUCAAAAAUAUCUGGAUUGUAUCACCACAUACUAGCCAUGUCAAUUCUUCUUAACCUAGAUCUUUCAGGAAACUGGGUGGACACAAUAGAACAUGUUCAAGUUUAGCCAACUAGAUUCUGUCUCCAAGAGUCUGGAAAUAGAGCAUUGAAAUGCUGAUCAAUUGGUGGCCCUAAAGUGGGGAGUUGUUGUGGUUCUAGGGCUAGAAUGUCCAUUUUCUGCCAUGUGUACGAAGAUGCAGAAAAAGCUGCUGUUUGGAAAGCACUGGGAAUAUAAUGCUUAGCAAGGCAUGCCUGGUCUCUGUCUUCAUGGAAUCUAUAGUUUAGUUAAAGAGACAUGAUGACAAAGAAGGUGAAUUCAGGAUACUUUGAAUACAGGUCCGGCAAUCCUUUCCUGAGUACUUCACAUUUAAGCUGAGAUCUCACUGGUGAAUAAAUGUUAACUGGGCAGAAAAGGGUGUAAAGAACUUUCCAAGGAAAGAGAAUAACAUAGAUAAAUGUUCUAAAGUGAAAGGGAGCAUCGUAUGUGAGUACUGAAAGGCCACUGGGGCUAUAGCAAAGAGAUGGAGCAAUAAGCAAGAGCUUAUAGACCAUGUGUAUCAGUUAGGAGAGGCUAGGUUGUGCUGAGUAACAAAUGACUCCAAAAAUCUCAGUGGCCUACAAUGAGGUUUAUUUAUCUUUCAUGCUACAUGUCCACCAUGGCUGUGCUUCAUGUCAUCUUCACUCUGGACUCAGGCUGACAGAGCAGUCUCUAUCUGGAAUGUUGCCACUGUCAUGACAGAAGGAUAAGAAAAGUGGUAAAUUGCCCACUGGUUCUUGAAGCAUAUGCUCACAUUUCUUUCACUUUUCAUCAGCCAAACCUUUGCCAUGCCCGAAAGCAACAAGAAGCAGGGCAUACUCCAACAGAAGGGACACCACAAUGAAGGGCACUGAAUGUGGGUGAAUAGUAAUUCAGUUCCACACCAUGUUUAAGAUUUUGAUGUUUCUUUUAGGAGCGAUGGAAAACCGUUGAAUAAAUUUUCCAUUUUUAACAAAUCAUUCUGGUCAUGUUGAGGAGAACAACAAAUUAUAAUUGGGCAAGAGUGGAUUGGGGAAGAAAAAUUAGGAGGUCAUUUCAGUUUUCUAGGCAAAAAAGGAUAGUACUUUAGACUAGGGUCGUGACACUGGAAAUGGAGAGAAGCCAAUAGAUUUAAAAGAUGGGAGGAUCUAGUAAUGUGCAGAGAAACAGAGGUGAGAGACUGUGUGGCCCCAGGAUGGUGGAAGAAAUGUGGCCAAAUUGGUUCCUGAUGUCUUACCAUUUGCUGGCUCCAGUCUUUUGGGAAGUUAAGCUACUCUAUGGUCUGUUUGUUCUUAGGUUUCCUGUGUUCUCCUAAUAAGUCUCCCUUUUUGCUUAAGUUAGUCUGUGUGUGUGUGUGUGUGUGUGUGUGUGUGUAUUCUCAAGCAAAUAGCCCUAAGACAUUAAGCCAAGGUGAGAACCAUCAGAGAAAGAGUGACACCACAGUCCUGGCUAUUGGGUUGAAGUAGUUAGGACAGCAAUAGAGUUUAACUAGUGCUGUCUCCUCUUCCAAUGACUCCUUCUCUAUCCAAUCUACUUAUUAUUCCCAAAAGAUCCUGAUACCAGCAAAUGUACAAAUUAUAAACAAUGAGUAUUUGUUAUACCCAGUGUGAACCUUCCCACAGCAGUUUGUUGAUACAUCUAUUUGGGCACUUAAAUUUCUUCUUUGUGGAUUCAUCGUGUACAAUCUUGUUCUCCUGCUAGACUUAAAGCCACCAGAGAGGGUCCAUGUGUCUUUUAUGUGGCCUAGUAUAGUAUCUCUUAUGAGUAGAUAUUGUGUGUGUGUGUGUGUGUGUGUGUAUUUCUGUAUAUAUUACAGAAAUAUUUUAGGAUAACUGUCAGCUAGGAACUCCCUCUCUCUCGGAAAAUUAGGUAAGCUUGCCUUGAGUGCCCAGUUUAGUCAACUCUAAAGUCAAGGGCCUCUGUUUCCCACUAUCCUGUUUUUAGGACUCUCUGACAGGUUGUUUAACAUGCUUGCCUGCUUCUGUCUUCCUCCACAAACACUCCUGCAACACUCCCCCGCUGCCUGUGUGCCUUGCUUCUGAGAAUAUUGAUACAGACCUGAAGCUCAACCCAUGACUAGUUACCUCCAACUGUCCUCAAGCAUUUAUGAAUUCAUUUAUUUGGUACCAAAGAUUUAAGAGGGAUCACACGAUAAAAUAUGAUGCCUUUUACCCUGAUGUUGGGUCUGCUCCUCUUUUUCUAUCCUCAGUAGAUUAACAAGCAAACCCUGCUCCUUUCCCAGGCUAUUACAGUUUGAUUGCACUCAGGUCCUUCUGAUUCUCAACUGUUUUCUCCAAACAAGUUAUUUGGAAAUUUCCCCCAAAGAUAUACGAUGUUCUCCUGAGAGGGAUACCAGAAAAUGCCAUUUUCUUAGCUUGGUACAUAAUCAUCAAAUGAAUGGUAACAUUUUGAAUUUUAUGUAUUUGAAAUAAUGAAAAAGAAAGUAUGUUUUAACCACCAUUGAGCAGUUGAACUUUUUGUUCUAACCCUCAGGAUCCCUUCAUACUCUUAAAAAUUAUUGAAGACUCCAAAGAGCUUUUGUUUAUGAGGGUUAUAUCUUCUGAUGUGUACUAUAUUAGAAGUUAAAACUGAAGAAUUUUUAAAACAUAAGCAUAUACAAACAAUUUCGUUAGCCAUCAGACUGCUGACCUCAUCCCAUGUCACAUGGCCUCUGAGACACUCUGCCUUCCACCUGUGGAAGAAUAAGAGUGAAAAAGUCAAGUAACAUCUUAAUAUUAUUAUGAAAAUAGGCUUGACCUUGCAGACCCCCUGAGCUGCACUUUGAGAACUCCUAUUCUAACCUGUAAGUCUGCCUCUGGUGUUUCCAGAUUAGUACAGUUUCUCUACGUGUGAAUACGAGAAUGUGAUCUCUGUGCUUCCAGAGUUUGAGAUCUACUAGCAUGCCAAAAUAAUUACAAGCUUCUGAGCUUUUCAAGUGAAACAUUAGUGUGGUACAUGAGAAAUUUUAGCCAUCCUUGUCAAAAUUAAAAAGGAAUACAGCUAUGAAGAAGUUUAUGUAAUACAUGACCAUCUUACUACUAGUGCUUCCUCUGGAGGAAAACUCUUCUGCAACUGUAAGAUGGCGAUAAAAAUCAGUAGGUAUAAAGAACUUAAUAUUGGUCAUACUAAACAUUUUAAAGGGUUUAGUACGUGGACAACAGGGAAGUGGCUUUCCCUACCGUCAUUAUGCAUCUACUAUCUGAAUUAGGGUAAAGCUAAACAUUUUGUAACAGAGACACCAAACACUAUGGUUAAAAGAACAUAAAAUCUGUUAUUCCCUUAUACACAGGAUUGCACAAAGUCAGCAAUCCAAUUUAUCAGAUUGGCUGUACUCCAUGAGGCCAUCCUGGGCCCCAGGUGCUUUCUGCCUUACUGCCCUACCAUCCACCAUGGCAUUAUUCUCAACUGCAUGAUUGAAGCUGGGUCAAGGAACUCCAUGAUCUACCCUGUGGGAAGGAAAAGACAGCAUGGGUGAUCAUAUGUCCUGUGUCUUAAGGCCCAGGCUCAAGAUUAGUACAAAUCAUUUCUGCUCCCGUUCCAUUGUGAGAAUGUAGUCUCAGCCUCAAAUGAGGCUGAGUAAUGUGCCCUCUGACUAGUCAUGAGCCAAGCCACAACUCUGGUACUAAAGAAGAGGGGCAGGGUGGAUUUUGAUGGAUAAUUCAUAGUAUUCAUCACAUAGACUUUUUAGUCAAUGAUUUUUGCCGUCAGCAAAGUGUUCUACUUCUCAGGCUUUAAAAUGCAAGCCCCAAAUCUGUAACUAUCAGAUUCUCUAGGGCCUAGAGUAAAUACAUUGAUUGCAUUGGUUUUAAAAAGAAGACCAUAAAUUCUUUGACACAGCAAGUGUUUCUAUGUUAAAACGGUUGCUGUCUUAGAAUACUCCCUCUCAGCUUGUGUUUUCUUAGAACCUAGCCACCAUUCUGAGAGAAAGCAAAGCCUCAUGGAGAGGCUAUAUGUAGGUGUUCUGGUCAACAGUCCCAGCUGGGCCCAGCCUUCAAAUCAUUCCAGACAGGAAAGACGUCCUACAGGAAAAUUCACCAAAACAGAGAACACAGGAAGACAGGGUCUACACUACGAAGAGUUCCACAGAAGGAGAGCUAAUCCUAGGGGAAAUUCAGUGUCCAGAUGUUUCAGAAUCCAGAUGGCCUAUGAAUCCUCUAUCACCCAGAAAGGAGGAAAAUGUGCAUGAAAGCGGAAGAUUGAAAAGAAAAAAAAUAAUUUAGGUGAUGUAAUGGCAGCAUACUGGGCUUAAGGAAAAGCUUCCCCUCCUAAAGCAGCAACUUAAUAAAAUGCAUGUUACAGUCUCUAUCAGCAAGCCAGAUUUUCAGCGUUGCCUCCUUUUUCCAUCACCAUUAAGAGGCUUGCAGAGAUCCACACUGUUUAAAGGGCAGACAGCAUGGAAGAACUAUCAUGUACAAUUUAAAGUAGCAGCUAAAAUUGGAAUGGUCACAAGAAAGCCUGUUUCUUUGCAAUUAAAUUGACAAGCUGUCUAUGAUUACCCUAGGGAACUUGGCAGCUGAGUGAUAAAAAGGCUGCAGAGUGUUGAAAGGUCUAACGCAACUUACUAGGUGGACAAAGACCACAUCUGCUUAAUAUACUGAUUGGGAGAGUUGUGGAAUGUACUUGGCUAAAUUAGCCGAGGAGGGAUACUAAUGAUCCUUUUUCCUCUCUAAGACCCUCUGCUCAGAACCUAUUUUAGAAAUUACCCACAAAUUUUUGGAAGCGUGCAUUAAAAAAUACUUUGGUGGAAUACCUGAUGUUAUUUAGCAUGCACCUACUGCUACAAAUCACCAGAAGAAUUGAGCAGAAAUUUAGAAAGAAAUAAUAAUAAAAAACAUCUUCCACCAAAUGUUUAUGAAGUUUAUAAAUGCUUGAUAUAAAAACUGGGUACCCAAGAGAAGAUUUAUAGUGAUAUCAACAACCAAAGAGUUGAAAGCACAUGGAUGAUUUAAUGCAAAAUAUUAGGCUAGAAUUACAUGAUAUUUUCAUCAUUGGGAGUCCUUUGAGUAGAGCAAAGCUGAAACUUAGGUUAUAAAGGAGAAGACACUAAUUUGAAAAGAUACAUACACCCCUGUGUUCACUGCAGUAUUAAUCACAAUAGCCAAGAUAUGGAAGCAAACUUAAUGCCCCUCAACUGAUGAAUGGAUAAGGAAAAUGUGGUAAAAAA